rnacentral:rRNA from 1 species
CCCUUAGAUGUCCUGGGCCGCACGCGCGCUACACUGAGUGUCUGAGAUACGAGUCUGCCUGGUCCGGCAAGGUCUAGGUAAUCGCUAAAAGACACAUCAUGCUUGGGAUAGAUUAUUGCAAAUAUUAAUCUUGAACGAGGAAUUCCUAGUAAGCGCAAGUCAACAGCUUGCGUUGAUUACGUCCCUGCUCUUUGUACACACCGCCCGUCGCUACUACUGAUUGGAUGUUUAAGCGAGGUUCUCGAACUGCUAGCGACUUAGCUUCGGUGAGGUCGCAGUGUGGGAAGUGAACCUAGCUUUGGUGUCUAGAGGAAGUAAAAGUCGUAACA